GAUAACCCCCGCAUCCGCAUUCUUGGAUCGAAGCGGCGAGCAGUUUUUCGGAGGUGAGCGGUGUUGCAAGAUGCUUCACGGCGGGUGGUGGCCUCGUUGGCCGGCGACCGUGUGGCGACCCGCCUCCAUCCCCCGUCCCCUUCCUUGCCCAUAGCGAUGGGUGAUGGCCCGACGUCCUUCUCCAUAUCCCGCACCCGCGCUCCCUUAUCUCCGUCGCCACGCUGGCAGCGGCCCCUUCCUCCACUCCCCGCUCCUCUUCGUCACGCACGACAACGGAAGGAGGGGUCCUGAUGGGAGCAAGGCUUGCGACCCCGCCGUCACAACUGCUCUGGAGCCCCGACAAAGCUAGCAACAGCAACACAGGUUCCAUGGCCUCUGUCGCACAUCUGCCGCCCAGCCGUCCCCAGGUUUCUCUCUCUCGAUGCUUGUGUAUAACUUACUAGUCACUUUGCUACUGCUAUUUAGAUUAAUUAGCAUAUUAGAUAGGAAGAGAAGUGUGCAGGAAGCCUCGUCAGCAAAGUGGUAAAGAGCAGGAGUUAAUUUUACAUCUUAUCUGGCCAUCUUAGAUCUUUACUACCUUGCUAGGUUAAUGCUUCGGCUGUGCUCUCUUGUAUAAGUUUGUUCAUAAUAACGAAGCAGCUACUGUAUAUUCAGGCCUAGGAGAAUGUUUUCUCACUUAAGUUCAGGUUGGAUUGUUGAUUAAAUAGACUGUGGAUUAUAACGAUUGUGGUAUUCCAAUUGGUUAGAAGUGUUGUUCGAUUUGCUCUUCAGUUUAUUAGUCCCAAAUUCGGUUGCGUCAGCCGCUUCAGGAGAUGGCCAUGUGCGCCACAAAAUUAGCUUGAUCUUAAGAUAGCACGAAUAAGCAAACUGCGUAGCUCUUAGUGUAGCAGGCUGUACUAUGCUGCUAUCUAAUGGAAUUCGGAGCUAGUGCCUUAGGUAGUUCCAACAAAUAAGAGAUUCAGUAUAAAAGCUUAUAGGUGUUCUUCUGUAUUCGAGUUUGCUCUCCUUAGUACAGGGAUAGUCUAGCCUCCAAAAUAUAUAGUGAUAGCUCUACAAACCAAAGAAAAAAAAUUGUUCGCUCAAAGUUCCACCAUUGUCCUGUCCAGACUAAAAUAUUUAGAUGACAUGAAUCACGAUCUAAGAGUUCAGUUCAGAUUUAAGGUGUGGAGAAAACAAAGUAGACUUAUGACCAUCACCGUGUUCACUUUGUUUUGGUUUGACCUAACCUGACCUCUCUGUGUAAAUAUUCAGUUUGCUUGAAACUUUCUUCACCACUUGAAAAUUUAUUAAAGGCUACCAGAUCAUAUAUAAAUUAGAUUAAGGAAAUGCUGAGUUAGCUCAAGCAGUCUCCACAUAGAAGUCACAGAUCAUUGGAUAAAUCAGAAACUUUAUGAAGCAAUAACUUCAAAAGGGAAAUUCCAGUGCACUUUUAUUGAUCACUUGCAAUGACCAUAUUAAUGGAGCCAGUAAUCGCCCCCUCUCCAUCAAUUUAUAUGAGUUUGUGUCUUACUCCCAUCCGUAUCUGCUUAUGUGUCUAUUUACUAUUUUCAUAUAGCAACUUCUGUUCUUGGAUAAUCUUUUCGCAUCACUGGCGAUCAUUCUCAGGGUAGGUGGUGGCUCGUAUUCUGCUUGCUGUGGGCUGCAUCUCCUCCCACAACAACGGCCGGCAACUAGGUUCGCCAUCGGAGUUCUUCAGCAUUGCCCCCUGUCUGUCAUUUUACACGACUUCUUAAGUCAUCCCGGCCUCCCCAUUCUGUUUCAACAUGACUUCUUUGUAUUUAUUGGAGCAAGGCGGUAAUGCAGCCUCCUCGCGUUAGACAGUGUGCUCCCACACCUCUUAUGCCAGAACGGUGGCAUCCUUCAUCACAGCCACCGCCUCCUUGCCAGGCCAGUCACUCACAUGCCAGCGCUCUCUUGCACCGAAUUAGCCGGCUGAUUGACGGGGUCAGUUCUCGAGGGACGAUGCAAGGCGCUGGUUUCCUGUGACGUUUCGUUAUGCAACACCAUUUUGCCCCUGGCUUUCUCUUCCAACAGGUUAAAAGUAGUCUAGAAAGCAAUGAAGGCCUUGUGCUGAUUGAGGAAAUUCUGAAAAAUGUGGUCCUCUGGAGACAUUUUUCUGCAAUUUCCCUCGAUAUAUUCUUAAACGUGGUAGGUAUGGUUGUAUAAACACACUGCUAAAGAGUCAUCUUAGUUAUCUGAUACAGUGGAUGUUCUAUGUCAAUGACUAUAGUUUGGAGUGGUCAAUUUACCAAACCAGUGUUAAGUAUGUGUACCAAAUACAUGUUGCCUUCAUUGUAUACUCUUCUCAUCCUUUGCAGUAAGCGAUGUUGUUUCAUUUGUGCU